UACGUAGGGGCGAGCGUUAUCCGGAAUUAUUGGGCGUAAAGGGUUCGCAGGUGGUCUGUUAAGUCAGAUGUGAAAGGCAGUGGCUCAACCAUUGCAAGCAUUUGAAACUGGCAGACUUGAGUACAGGAGAGGAAAGCGGAAUUCCUAGUGUAGCGGUGAAAUGCGUAGAUAUCGGGAGGAACAUCGGUGGCGAAGGCGGGUAACUGGACUGCAACUGACGCUGAGGCGCGAAAGUGUGGGGAGCAAACAGGAUUAGAUACCCCCGUAGU
rnacentral:rRNA from 1 species